rnacentral:rRNA from 1 species
AGAGUUUGAUUCUGGCUCAGGAUGAACGCUAGCGACAGGCUUAACACAUGCAAGUCGAGGGGCAGCAUAGAAGUAGCAAUACUUGGUGGCGACCGGCGCACGGGUGAGUAACGCGUAUGCAACCUACCUAUCAGAGGGGAAUAACCCGGCGAAAGGCGGACUAAUACCGCAUAAAACAGGGGCACCGCAUGGUGAUAUUUGUUAAAGAAAUUCGCUGAUAGAUGGGCAUGCGUUCCAUUAGGUAGUUGGUGAGGUAACGGCUCACCAAGCCGACGAUGGAUAGGGGAACUGAGAGGUUGGUCCCCCACACUGGUACUGAGACACGGACCAGACUCCUACGGGAGGCAGCAGUGAGGAAUAUUGGUCAAUGGGCGGGAGCCUGAACCAGCCAAGUCGCCGUGAAGGAAGAAGGAUCUAUGGUUCGUAAACUUCUUUUGCAGGGGAAUAAAGUGCAGGACGUGUCCUGUUUUGUAUGUACCCUGAGAAUAAGGAUCGGCUAACUCCGUGCCAGCCGCCGC